CUGGUUAUAAAACGAAUACAUUGAAAUAUUUGAGGGUGUGCAGACACACAUACCUGCUAGUGGAGUCCAGAAACCCAGUAAUACCGGAGAGUUGAGGCCAGUCGAGCUCAUCGCUAAGAGCCGUUGGGCUUUUGGCAUUUAAGGCAGAUGCCUCUUAACUUCAACUUUCAUUGGAGAAUUCACAAUGAUCAGCAUCACCCAGGAUCUGGCUUCCGUUCAGCUCUUGUGACACAUGCCGAGCAUAGGGCACCUCAUACACUUAAGAGAGAUGCUCCAGUACACAGGAAACCUCAGUGAGUGGCUACAAGAAGCCCCUGCAUUUCUCAACAUUGAAAAUCC